UGAGGCUGUAGCACAGUGGUGAAGUGCUUUCCUCACAUGGAUGAGGUGCUGGGUUCAAUCCUCAGCACCACAA
rnacentral:tRNA from 1 species